GGACGAACGCUGGCGGCGUGCUUAACACAUGCAAGUCGAACGGUGAAGGGACUGGUUUUGCUGGUCCUGGAUGAGUGGCGAACGGGUGAGUAACACGUGAGUAACCUGCCCCCUUCUUCUGGAUAACCGCAUGAAAGUGUGGCUAAUACGGGAUAUUCUGGGUCUGUCGCAUGGUGGGCCUGGGAAAGAUUGCGCCUUUUUUGGUGUUUUUGGUGGGGGAUGGGCUCGCGGCCUAUCAGCUUGUUGGUGGGGUGAUGGCCUACCAAGGCGGUGACGGGUAGCCGGCCUGAGAGGGUGGACGGUCACACUGGGACUGAGACACGGCCCAGACUCCUACGGGAGGCAGCAGUGGGGAAUAUUGCACAAUGGGCGCAAGCCUGAUGCAGCGACGCCGCGUGAGGGAUGGAGGCCUUCGGGUUGUGAACCUCUUUCGCCAGUGAAGCAGGCCUGCCUCUUUUUGUGGGUGGGUUGACGGUAGCUGGAUAAGAAGCGCCGGCUAACUACGUG
rnacentral:rRNA from 1 species